rnacentral:rRNA from 1 species
AUUGAACGCUGGCGGCAGGCCUAACACAUGCAAGUCGAACGGUAACAGGAAGAAGCUUGCUUCUUUGCUGACGAGUGGCGGACGGGUGAGUAAUGUCUGGGAAACUGCCUGAUGGAGGGGGAUAACUACUGGAAACGGUAGCUAAUACCGCAUAACGUCGCAAGACCAAAGAGGGGGACCUUUGGGCCUCUUGCCAUCGGAUGUGCCCAGAUGGGAUUAGCUAGUAGGUGGGGUAACGGCUCACCUAGGCGACGAUCCCUAGCUGGUCUGAGAGGAUGACCAGCCACACUGGAACUGAGACACGGUCCAGACUCCUACGGGAGGCAGCAGUGGGGAAUAUUGCACAAUGGGCGCAAGCCUGAUGCAGCCAUGCCGCGUGUAUGAAGAAGGCCUUCGGGUUGUAAAGUACUUUCAGCGGGGAGGAAGGGAGUAAAGUUAAUACCUUUGCUCAUUGACGUUACCCGCAGAAGAAGCACCGGCUAACUCCGUG